UCCAGACUCCUACGGGAGGCAGCAGUGGGGGAUAUUGCACAAUGGGGGAAACCCUGAUGCAGCGACGCCGCGUGAGUGAAGAAGUAAUUCGUUACGUAAAGCUCUAUCAGCAGGGAAGAAAAUGACGGUACCUGACUAAGAAGCCCCGGCUAACUACGUGCCAGCAGCCGCGGUAAUACGUAGGUGGCAAGCGUUGUCCGGAUUUACUGGGUGUAAAGGGCGUGUAGCCGGGCCGACAAGUCAGAUGUGAAAUUCCGGGGCUCAACCCCGGACCUGCAUUUGAAACUGUUGGUCUUGAGUAUCGGAGAGGCAGGCGGAAUUCCUAGUGUAGCGGUGAAAUGCGUAGAUAUUAGGAGGAACACCAGUGGCGAAGGCGGCUUACUGGACUGUAACUGACGUUGAGGCUCGAAAGCGUGGGGAGCAAACAGGAUUAGAUACCCCAGUA
rnacentral:rRNA from 1 species